UGGGGAAUUUUGGACAAUGGGCGAAAGCCUGAUCCAGCAAUGCCGCGUGUGUGAAGAAGGCCUUCGGGUUGUAAAGCACUUUUGUCCGGAAAGAAAUGGCUCUGGUUAAUACCUGGGGUCGAUGACGGUACCGGAAGAAUAAGGACCGGCUAACUACGUGCCAGCAGCCGCGGUAAUACGUAGGGUCCAAGCGUUAAUCGGAAUUACUGGGCGUAAAGCGUGCGCAGGCGGUUGUGCAAGACCGAUGUGAAAUCCCCGAGCUUAACUUGGGAAUUGCAUUGGUGACUGCACGGCUAGAGUGUGUCAGAGGGGGGUAGAAUUCCACGUGUAGCAGUGAAAUGCGUAGAGAUGUGGAGGAAUACCGAUGGCGAAGGCAGCCCCCUGGGAUAACACUGACGCUCAUGCACGAAAGCGUGGGGGGCAAACAGGAUUAGAUACCCUGGGUAGUCCACGCCCUAAACGAUGUCAACUAGUUGUUGGGGGAUUCAUUUCCUUAGUAACGUAGCUAACGCGUGAAGUUGACCGCCUGGGGAGUACGGUCGCAA
rnacentral:rRNA from 1 species